CCCUCCCUAAAUCACCCAAAAAAACAAUCCCCAAUUCUACACAAGUGUUUCUACACUAACAAAGCAACAGCUCCUUAACGAAUUCCCAACUUUACACGAGCUCGUCUCUCGAGGUUAAAUGUUAUUACUUGCAAGAUUCCGACCUCGCUGCAAGUGUUUUGAAAACCCGCAACGCUCGCAAAGGUGAAGAUAGUGAGAAUAAUAAGUGUAAGAGACAGACUUGUCCAAAACGCCCACCACGAAGGUGCAUAGUGAGAAGAGUAAGUCAAGAGAUAGACUUGUCCAAAAAGAAACGGAAGAGAAAAAGCUUGGGGAGACGCUCACGAAGGUGCAUAGUGAGAAGAGUAAGUCAAGAGAUGACUUGUUCAAAAAAGAAACAGAAGAGAAUGCUUGGGGUUACACUCACGAAGGUGCAUAGUGAGAAGAGUAAGUCAAGAGACAGACUUGUUCUAAAAAGAAACAAAAGAGAAUGCUUGGGGGAGAUCAAGCUAAGAAAGUGCUAAGAGAUCAAAGUUCUCAAGCUGAAAAGUCAAACACUUGGUGAUAUGUAAAGCUAAGACAAACUAUGCCAAGUAAUCGUCCUGGUGAUUCCUCGCCCCACCAGGAUUCUGAAAUCGUGCCGAGGGAAAAAAAUCUGGCUCCUCCGAGGAAUCUGCCGAUCCGGACUUGGAAUCGUCGAGAAAAGUUUAUCUGGGUCCGAGGAUUUGUCGAC
rnacentral:misc_RNA from 1 species